GCUCCUCCCGGCCUCCCGGAGGACGAGCCGGCCCCGGCCUCCCCGCCGCGGCUCCUUUCGCUUCGAGCCCGGCACAGCGGCUCCCGCUCGGCUUCCCUCUCCCGGCCGCUCGCUCCCUGUCCCCCCCGCAUCCAGCCCGGUCCUGGCCCCGGAGCCCCCCGCGGGUCGUGCCCGAGCCGUGCGGGACCAUCCUCGCCGUGGACAUUGCUCCGAGCACCCCCGGCCCGGAGGAGAGUUUUGGAAAGCUGCCGCCUGGCUCCGCCGAGCCCGUCACAGCGCCCGAGCCGAGCGAGCAGGGAAGUUGAAGCAAAAUCGGGACGUGGUGCGGUCCCCGAAACGGGUUCGCUGCCCGUUUUCCUUUUGAAUUAAAAAGAAAUAAACAUGUAACCG